rnacentral:rRNA from 1 species
GACGAACGCUGGCGGCGUGCUUAACACAUGCAAGUCGAGCGAUGAAGCCGGAGCUUGCUCCGGUGGAUUAGUGGCGAACGGGUGAGUAACACGUGAGCAAUCUGCCCUUGACUCUGGGAUAACUACGGGAAACUGUAGCUAAUACCGGAUACGACGCCUUGGGGCAUCCCAGGGUGUGGAAAGAAUUUCGGUCAAGGAUGAGCUCGCGGCCUAUCAGCUAGUUGGUGAGGUAAUGGCUCACCAAGGCGACGACGGGUAGCCGGCCUGAGAGGGUGACCGGCCACACUGGAACUGAGACACGGUCCAGACUCCUACGGGAGGCAGCAGUGGGGAAUAUUGCACAAUGGGCGAAAGCCUGAUGCAGCAACGCCGCGUGAGGGAUGAAGGCCUUCGGGUUGUAAACCUCUUUUAGCAGGGAAGAAGCGAAAGUGACGGUACCUGCAGAAAAAGCACCGGCUAACUACGUGCCAGCCGCCGCAGUAA